rnacentral:rRNA from 1 species
AGUGAACGCUGGCGGUAGGCCUAACACAUGCAAGUCGAACGGCAGCACAGUAAGAGCUUGCUCUUACGGGUGGCGAGUGGCGGACGGGUGAGGAAUACAUCGGAAUCUACUUUUUCGUGGGGGAUAACGUAGGGAAACUUACGCUAAUACCGCAUACGACCUACGGGUGAAAGCAGGGGAUCUUCGGACCUUGCGCGAUUGAAUGAGCCGAUGUCGGAUUAGCUAGUUGGCGGGGUAAAGGCCCACCAAGGCGACGAUCCGUAGCUGGUCUGAGAGGAUGAUCAGCCAAACUGGAACUGAGACACGGUCCAGACGCCUACGGGAGGAAGCAGUGGGGAAUAUUGGACAAUGGGCGCAAGCAUGAUCCAGCCAUACCGCGUGGGUGAAGAAGGCCUUCGGGUUGUAAAGCCCUUUUGUUGGGAAAGAAAAGCAGCAGGUUAAUACCCCGCUGUUCUGACGGUACCCAAAGAAUAAGCACCGGCUAACUUCGUG